GCAAUAUUUAUCUAUGUUGCCUCUUUAGGUGGGGUCUCUUCCAGCUGGGCUUUUUAUGCCUCCUGGUAUUCAGCGAGCCAUGACAUGUAUGGUAGUAUUUAGGGCAUCGUUUUAGAGUUAGGAGUCUGGAAAGGAUGUAUGGACCUACCCUUUAAGCAUCUAAGAGAGGCAGCAAGAAGGUGCAUUGUCAGGAUAAUUUUAGAGGUUGCUUUGUGUGUGAUGAGUUUGACCAUGUGGAUAAUAACUGUCCUCACCGUAUGUUUUGAGCUACUUUUAUUUCAGCCGUGAGAGGUAUGGGUUUUACCAAAGGUGCGAGAAGUAGAGGUAGAAGAUCCCGUAGUAGUGGUCGUGGGGCUAUUCA
rnacentral:lncRNA from 1 species